CUCCGCCCCGACGUCCAACGUGGCCACCGAUUGGUCGAGGGAGACGUGCGUGCGCUUGCGCAUGCUCGGUGGGUAAAAGCAUGGCGGUGGUGUCUCCGUUCAGCUUGCAUCUUCUCAGACACGUGCAGUGAAAAAGACCAGAGCACAUCCUUGUGGGACGCCUCAAGACCUUUGCCAAGAAGCAUCAGGCUGCUUCAGGUUUCUUCCCAGCUGUUUCAUUGACAAGAGGUCCAGGUAGAAGACAGCAGGCACCCUGCCCAGCUUAUCACAGGCCUGAUGCCCAAAGCUUCUGCCAACGGCUGCUCUGGGGGUGUACCCCGGCUUUCCUACUCGCCGGGGAUGGAGGAAAUAUUUGAAGCUUCAAAGAGAAAAAAAAGUCUGUGCCAGAAGUGAACCCAAAGCUAGCCCGCCCCUGAUACGUACUUAUUAUGAACAGCUGUGCCCACCCAUCUGCGCACCGGAAGGUAGAGGCCAGUGCAGACUGCCCCAGUUUGCUUUCCAGUGUGGGGAGAAAACAUGUGACCAACAGCAACUGUAAGAGCCAAAGUUACAUUUUACGUUUUAAUUACUGUACCUAAGAGCUCCAUACAGAAAAAUGCCUCUAACCUGUAAGUCCCUUGUCCAAGGACAGACACUUCCCGAAAUGCUGGAGGCUGUUGUUUAUGGAGAUAACAAACCAUGUUUUCACUCCCCUAAACAGGUUUGUUUGACUCAACUACCGCAGAUGUGCUUGAUCACAUGUGUACGUAGGCAGAUAUGUCAGGAUGUGUGCUUGCCCCUGACUGGACCUGAUGGGAAAUACAGUGGCCUUUUUAAGCCUCUGCAAGGCAUGACUCGUGGCCAUUUUCUGGGAAGCCAGAGAUGGACCUGGCUAGAGACUCCAUCAACCUGGCCAGUAUUGAAUUGAAGCUUGCUUCAGAUUUGUCUUUAAAA